UGUUAAUAGGAUUUUACUGAGCCAAUCUCUAACCUGAGAAUGAAGAAACAGCAGGCCAGAGACAAAUUGCCAGUAAUCAGGUAGUAGCUAGCUGACAGAGCUGAUUUCCUGACUGGCACAAGCGAUAGGGAACAGCUGCUUUUCUGGCAGCAGGUGCGUCUUGUCUUGGUGGCUUCCGCUGCGUAGUUCAUUGUGCAUGAAAGGCAUGGCUGGCCUAACACAUAGGCAGCCUGAGUAGGUGGACCACCCGUACAGGAAGGUGCAGAAGAGAUUCCUGCUCAGAGAUGAAGGAAGAAGAGUGAUAUAGUGGAGAG